AUUGAACGCUGGCGGCAUGCCUUACACAUGCAAGUCGAACGGCAGCACGGGGCAACCUGGUGGCGAGUCGCGAACGGGUGAGUAAUGCAUCGGAACGUACCUUUCGGUGGGGGAUAACGUAGCGAAAGUUACGCUAAUACCGCAUAUUCUGUGAGCAGGAAAGCAGGGGAUCGCAAGACCUUGCGCUGAUUGAGCGGCCGAUGUCAGAUUAGCUAGUUGGUGAGGUAAAGGCUCACCAAGGCGACGAUCUGUAGCGGGUCUGAGAGGAUGAUCCGACACACUGGAACUGCGACACGGUCCAGACCCCUACGGGAGGCAGCAGUGGGGAAUUUUGGACAAUGGGGGCAACCCUGAUCCAGCCAUGCCGCGUGAGUGAAGAAGGCCUUCGGGUUGUAAAGCUCUUUCGGCCGGGAAGAAAUCGCACGGGCUAAUACCCUGUGUGGAUGACGGUACCGGAAUAAGAAGCAUCGGCUAACUACGUGCCAGCAGCCGCAGUAACAC
rnacentral:rRNA from 1 species